UACGGAGGGGACUAGCGUUGUUCGGAAUUACUGGGCGUAAAGCGCACGUAGGCGGAUUUGUAAGUCAGGGGUGAAAUCCCGGGGCUCAACCCCGGAACUGCCUUUGAUACUGCAAAUCUCGAGUCCGGAAGAGGUGAGUGGAAUUCCUAGUGUAGAGGUGAAAUUCGUAGAUAUCCGGAGGAACACCAGUGGCGAAAGCGGCCACCUGGACUGCACCUGACGCUGACACGCGAAAGCUAGGGGAGCGAACGGG
rnacentral:rRNA from 1 species